rnacentral:precursor_RNA from 1 species
AGCUUCUUGUGUCCCCAUUUUGCCAACAAGAAAACUGGGGAAUAGAAAGGAGCCAC